GAUGAACGCUGGCGGCGUGCCUAAUACAUGCAAGUCGAGCGAACAGACGAGGAGCUUGCUCCUCUGACGUUAGCGGCGGACGGGUGAGUAACACGUGGAUAACCUACCUAUAAGACUGGGAUAACUUCGGGAAACCGGAGCUAAUACCGGAUAAUAUAUUGAACCGUAUGGUUCAAUAGUGAAAGACGGUUUUGCUGUCACUUAUAGAUGGAUCCGCGCCGCAUUAGCUAGUUGGUAAGGUAACGGCUUACCAAGGCGACGAUGCGUAGCCGACGUGAGAGGGUGAUCGCCCACACUGGAGCUGAGACGCGGUCCAGGCUCCUACGGGAGGCAGCAGUAGGGAAUCUUCCGCAAUGGGCGAAAACCUGACGGAGCAACGCCGCGUGAGUGAUGGAGGUCUUCGGAUCGUAAAACUCUGUUAUUAGGGAAGAACAAAUGUGUAAGUAACUAUGCACGUCUUGACGGUACCUAAUCAGAAAGCCACGGCUAACUACGUG
rnacentral:rRNA from 1 species